rnacentral:snRNA from 11 species
AUACAUCCCUAUCACCAUGGUCACAAAGGUGGUUCUCCCAGGGCGGAGCUCAUCCAUUACAUUCUGGAUGUGCUGACUCCUGGGAUUUCCCCAACGUAAGAAACUUCACUGUACAAUUUGUGGGGACUUCAUUUACACUCUCCCCU